AGCCCCAGAGGCAGCUCCUGGGCUACACUGCCACUAUGUGUUCAGGCUCGCUGCCCCCUAGGCACAAACACGUUCUUGGGAGUUGUUUUUCAGAAUAGCCAAGGACUGUUCCAGCAGACAAAAUCUUGCCUAACUCCAUGCCUGUGGGACACAAACCUGCUCAGAGCCACAGCACUGAACUGCAUCUGUAGCUGAGGCAAAAUCCCCUCAUUACUGCUGGACAAACACUCAAGAAAAGUGGUUGGGAAGUAAGUCCAUAGCUCCGCCUUCCAAGCUAUCCUAUGGCUUAUAAGGAACUGACUGUUGGCAGUAUUUCUGUUCCUUGAUUGCUAUGAUAAGCUGCUGCGUGUGAGGUAGGAAUAAAAUAAUGUAAGGACCUUAAU
rnacentral:lncRNA from 7 species